rnacentral:sRNA from 1 species
GGUAAAAUAAUUUUAAAAUCCCUAUAGGUAGGGUAUGUUAUAAAACUGUCCCAAUUCAAAAUCGAGUCUGGUAAUAAACAAAAUUUAAAGCAACGCGAACGAAAGGAUUUUUAGGACAUACUAAAUUAUUUAAUAGGAAGGCAUUGAACAUACGGAAUUUUUAUAUGGUAUAUCUAAACAACUGCAACAUUACUCCCACAAUUAUAUGAACUCUUUAACAAGAUAUUUUAUUUAUCCCGAUUACCCCAAUGAUUAUCCUUCGAAAAGGCUUAGCCUCUUGGUAAAAUAAACUUAAUUUCCAUAUAGGUAGGGUGUGUUAUAAAACUGUCCCAAUUCAAAAUCGAGUCUGGUAAUAAACAAAAUUUAAAGCAACGCGAACGAAAGGAUUUUUAGGACAUACUAAAUUAUUUAAUAGGAAGGCAUUGAACAUACGGAAUUUUUAUAUGGUAUAUCUAAACAACUGCA